ensembl:misc_RNA Metazoa_SRP Metazoan signal recognition particle RNA
ACCGGGUGCGGUGGCAUGUGCCUGUAAUCCAAGUCACUGGGAGGCUGAGGUUGGUGGAUCAAGUGAGCUGAGGAGCUCUGGGCUGCAGCACGCUAUGUCGAACGGGUGUCCACGCUAAGUUCGGUAUCGAUAUGGUGUUCCUGGGGGAGCCCGGGACCACCAGGUUGUCUAAGGAGGGGUGAACCGGCCCAGGUCGGAAACGAAGCAGGUCAAAUCCCCCGUGCUGUCCAGUAGUGGGAUAAUACCUGUGAGUAGAUGCUGCAGUGCAGCCUUGGCAAAACAUCGAGACCUAAUCUUUU